rnacentral:rRNA from 1 species
ACAACACAAUAUUGUCCGCCAGAGAACUACAAGCGAAAAGCUCAAAACUCCAAGGACUUGGCGGUGCUCCACAUCAGCCUAGAGGAGCCUGUCCUAUAAUCGAUACCCCGCGUUAAACCUUACCAUCUUUAGCCCCUCAGCCUAUAUACCGCCGUCGCCAGCAUACCUUGUGAAAGAGACAACAGUGUGCACAACAGUUAUUAUCUAAUACGUCAGGUCAAGGUGUAUCAUAUAAGAUGGAAGAGAUGGGCUACAUUUUCUACCACAGAAUAAACGAAAGGCACAAUGAAACAUGCACCCGAAGGCGGAUUUAGCAGUAAGACAGACAAGAAAUGCUGUCUUAAAACCGCUCUGGAGCGCGC